ensembl:processed_transcript
AUGCCAGUGGAGACCCUUCGUCCCACAGAUGGACGUCUGACGGGGGGUCCCUUCACCUCUGCCAUGCCUUUCCGUAUCCUCAACAAAGGCCCGGGCUACUUUCGCAGACUACCAGAGACAGGAACUCGGAAGCUUAGUGCAGUUGAGCGCCUGGAAGCAGACAAGGCCAAGUACGUAAAGAGCCAGCAAGUAGCACUUACUAGACAAGAACCUGUGAAGCCCCCAAUAAUCCGCAAACCGCUAUUAUCACCAAGCAUAAUAAAUACUCCACCAGCAAGGAAGAUUACCCGACGGGUACUGGAUACAGAGAAUGGAGGACCAGAUCAUGGCAUGAGCAGAGGGCCGCAACUCAACCUGGAAGUACUCAAUAAUCUAAUCAAUGUUUCCUCCUCUCCCUCUUCUGGUGGUCAGAGCGUUGGUAGUGGACAAUCUGCAGAACUGCAGCACUGCAUCAAUUUCAAAGCACAUCUUGCCUCAACACCUAACUCCUCUCGCACAUCUUCUCCUCUUAACAAUCAACCCUCACCUGCAGAGCCUAGCCGAAGGCCGCCUCCUGUCCCAGCUAGAGCUCCCCGACUGGUACCACAAGGUAGUUAUGGUCCACCCAACUCUGUAACUGUACGACGGGUGGAUGUGCGACCUCAAGCGGAAAUCAGAAAACCUCAAAGAAUGCCUCUACAGCCCAAACCUCGGCAGACCCAACCACAGGUAGCCCAGCCACAGGCACCUCCCACACCUGUUCAGCAGCAACCUUCGGCAGCUCACCCUCCAUCCCCCUGUAUACCUUCCAGCCCACGACUUCUGCGCCCGGGCAUUAUACCCCCACCUUCCCCUGCUUUUACUCGCCUGUCUUCAGCCAGCUCACGAGGUUCAACCCGGAAACACCCCUCCCUCCACCGUUCCAAAUCAGACUUAAGUGAUCGUUACUCUCGGGCCACAGCUGACCUGGAGCGGUUCUUUAAUUACUGUGGGCUGGACCCAGAUGAGGUGGAUGGAAUGGGUGGUGUGGAGUGUUUUGCCCGGGCAAAUUCGGACAUUGUUUCAGUCUCAAAGCUCCGCAGUGUCAGUACGCCUAGCUCAGAGUGCGGGGAUGGACAGCGAGGAGAGGAAGAGGAUGAUGAAGAUGACGAUAUGGGGCCUAUCAAACCCAGUGAGCGGGUUCCCUACGGCAUCUCCGUCAUCGAGAGGAAUGCCCGUGUCAUUAAGUGGCUCUAUGGUAUUAGGCAGGCACGAGAUGUCUCACAAAACAUUUCCAAUGUCUAG